GUUUGGGUCUCGCGCAAGGGAGCCCCGCGAACCUCGUCAGGUCCGGAAGGAAGCAGCGAUAAGCGGAUCGUUCACUGUGCCGUGAGGUCGCCUGGGGGCU
rnacentral:SRP_RNA from 1 species